GGUCAAGUGAAGAAGCGCAUACGGUGGAUGCCUUGGCAGUCAGAGGCGAUGAAAGACGUGGUAGCCUGCGAAAAGCUUCGGGGAGUCGGCAAACAGACUUUGAUCCGGAGAUCUCUGAAUGGGGGAACCCACCUAGGAUAACCUAGGUAUCUUGUACUGAAUCCAUAGGUGCAAGAGGCGAACCAGGGGAACUGAAACAUCUAAGUACCCUGAGGAAAAGAAAUCAACCGAGAUUCCCUUAGUAGUGGCGAGCGAACGGGGAUUAGCCCUUAAGCUUCAUUGAUUUUAGCGGAACGCUCUGGAAAGUGCGGCCAUAGUGGGUGAUAGCCCCGUACGCGAAAGGAUCUUUGAAGUGAAAUCGAGUAGGACGGAGCACGAGAAACUUUGUCUGAACAUGGGGGGACCAUCCUCCAAGGCUAAAUACUACUGACUGACCGAUAGUGAACCAGUACCGUGAGGGAAAGGCGAAAAGAACCCCGGAGAGGGGAGUGAAAUAGAACCUGAAACCGUAUGCGUACAAGCAGUGGGAGCCUACUUGUUAGGUGACUGCGUACCUUUUGUAUAAUGGGUCAGCGACUUAUAUUCAGUGGCAAGCUUAACCGUAUAGGGUAGGCGUAGCGAAAGCGAGUCUUAAUAGGGCGUUUAGUCGCUGGGUAUAGACCCGAAACCGGGCGAUCUAUCCAUGAGCAGGUUGAAGGUUAGGUAACACUGACUGGAGGACCGAACCCACUCCCGUUGAAAAGGUAGGGGAUGACUUGUGGAUCGGAGUGAAAGGCUAAUCAAGCUCGGAGAUAGCUGGUUCUCCUCGAAAGCUAUUUAGGUAGCGCCUCAUGUAUCACUCUGGGGGGUAGAGCACUGUUUCGGCUAGGGGGUCAUCCCGACUUACCAAACCGAUGCAAACUCCGAAUACCCAGAAGUGCCGAGCAUGGGAGACACACGGCGGGUGCUAACGUCCGUCGUGAAAAGGGAAACAACCCAGACCGCCAGCUAAGGUCCCAAAGUUGUGGUUAAGUGGUAAACGAUGUGGGAAGGCUUAGACAGCUAGGAGGUUGGCUUAGAAGCAGCCAUCCUUUAAAGAAAGCGUAAUAGCUCACUAGUCGAGUCGGCCUGCGCGGAAGAUGUAACGGGGCUCAAACCACACACCGAAGCUGCGGGUGUCACGUAAGUGACGCGGUAGAGGAGCGUUCUGUAAGCCUGUGAAGGUGAGUUGAGAAGCUUGCUGGAGGUAUCAGAAGUGCGAAUGCUGACAUGAGUAACGACAAUGGGUGUGAAAAACACCCACGCCGAAAGACCAAGGGUUCCUGCGCAACGUUAAUCGACGCAGGGUUAGUCGGUUCCUAAGGCGAGGCUGAAAAGCGUAGUCGAUGGGAAACAGGUUAAUAUUCCUGUACUUCUGGUUACUGCGAUGGAGGGACGGAGAAGGCUAGGCCAGCUUGGCGUUGGUUGUCCAAGUUUAAGGUGGUAGGCUGAAAUCUUAGGUAAAUCCGGGGUUUCAAGGCCGAGAGCUGAUGACGAGUCGUCUUUUAGAUGACGAAGUGGUUGAUGCCAUGCUUCCAAGAAAAGCUUCUAAGCUUCAGGUAACCAGGAACCGUACCCCAAACCGACACAGGUGGUCGGGUAGAGAAUACCAAGGCGCUUGAGAGAACUCGGGUGAAGGAACUAGGCAAAAUGGCACCGUAACUUCGGGAGAAGGUGCGCCGGCUAGGGUGAAGGAUUUACUCCGUAAGCUCUGGCUGGUCGAAGAUACCAGGCCGCUGCGACUGUUUAUUAAAAACACAGCACUCUGCAAACACGAAAGUGGACGUAUAGGGUGUGACGCCUGCCCGGUGCCGGAAGGUUAAUUGAUGGGGUUAGCGCAAGCGAAGCUCUUGAUCGAAGCCCCGGUAAACGGCGGCCGUAACUAUAACGGUCCUAAGGUAGCGAAAUUCCUUGUCGGGUAAGUUCCGACCUGCACGAAUGGCGUAACGAUGGCGGCGCUGUCUCCACCCGAGACUCAGUGAAAUUGAAAUCGCUGUGAAGAUGCAGUGUAUCCGCGGCUAGACGGAAAGACCCCGUGAACCUUUACUGUAGCUUUGCACUGGACUUUGAGCCUGCUUGUGUAGGAUAGGUGGGAGGCUUUGAAGCGUGGACGCCAGUUCGCGUGGAGCCAUCCUUGAAAUACCACCCUGGCAUGCUUGAGGUUCUAACUCUGGUCCGUGAUCCGGAUCGAGGACAGUGUAUGGUGGGCAGUUUGACUGGGGCGGUCUCCUCCUAAAGAGUAACGGAGGAGUACGAAGGUGCGCUCAGACCGGUCGGAAAUCGGUCGCAGAGUAUAAAGGCAAAAGCGCGCUUGACUGCGAGACAGACACGUCGAGCAGGUACG
rnacentral:rRNA from 1 species